rnacentral:SRP_RNA from 1 species
UCGUGCUAGACGGGGAGGUAGCGGUGCCCUGUACCUGCAACCCGCUAUAGCAGGGUUGAAUUCCUGCCCGAGGCAUAUUACUGUGGAAAAGGGAUUUGAUUUGGGGGCAAUGAAGAUUGGGUCUUGCGCAAUUCAAGGCUGUAAACCCCGUCAGGUUCGGAAGAAAGCAGCGGUAAGCAGUUAUCUGGAUGUGCCGCAAGGGCGCCUAAUCAGAGCUUUCUGUCAUUGUACCGUCCGUAGUCGUAUGUCGACGGCAGGUGCACGA